GACGAGCCUCACAAACGUUAUUCGGAAUUACUGGGCUUAAAGGGUGCGUAGGCGGCGCGGAAAGUUGGGUGUGAAAUCCCUCGGCUCAACCGAGGAACUGCGCCCAAAACUGCCGUGCUCGAGGAAGAUAGAGGUGAGCGGGACUUACGGUGGAGCGGUGAAAUGCGUUGAUAUCGUAAGGAACACCCGUGGCGAAAGCGGCUCACUGGGUCUUUUCUGACGCUGAUGCACGUAAGCUGGGGGAGCAAACUGG
rnacentral:rRNA from 1 species